GACCUCGUAGCUCAAUUGGUAGAGCAUUGGGCUAGUAUCCCAAAGGUCGCGGGUUCAAUUCCCACCGUGGCCA
rnacentral:tRNA from 1 species